rnacentral:rRNA from 1 species
GACGAACGCUGGCGGCGUGCUUAACACAUGCAAGUCGAACGGAAAGGCCCUGCUUUUGUGGGGUGCUCGAGUGGCGAACGGGUGAGUAACACGUGAGUAACCUGCCCUUGACUUUGGGAUAACUUCAGGAAACUGGGGCUAAUACCGGAUAGGAGCUCCUGCUGCAUGGUGGGGGUUGGAAAGUUUCGGCGGUUGGGGAUGGACUCGCGGCUUAUCAGCUUGUUGGUGGGGUAGUUGCGUACCAAGGCUUUGACGGGUAGCCGGCCUGAGAGGGUGACCGGCCACAGGGGAACGGAGGCGCGGGCCAGACGCCGACGUGAGGGAGCAGCAGGGAACCUUCCGCAAUGGGCGAAAGGCUGACGGAGCAUCGCCGCGUUGGUGAUGAAGGUCGUCGGAGCGGAAAGCUCGGUUAUGAGGGAAGAACAUAUGUGCAAGGAAAUGUGCACAUCGUGACGGUACCUAAUCAGAAAGCAACGGCUAACUACUUG